AACACGCUCCCUUAGAUCCACCUCUGGAGGCCUCUGUUUCAGAGCUCCUCAGCAGCUUUCUGGCUGUACAGUCGGAGGUGCUUGAGUCAUUGGCGUGUGAGAGCAGUCUACCCGUCCCCCAGCCCACCUGCACCAAUGGCAACCCUGUCCUCACAGGCAGGCUCCUCCCACUGUUGCACACCUGGGGGAUGGACAUG
ensembl:snoRNA small nucleolar RNA SNORA53